UGGGCAUUGCACUUCAUUGCCCAACACCUUCCCUGUGGAGACGCAGCAAUGUUUUGGGGUAGUUGACCUCCAGUCAAGGGCGAGACUGAUUGUUCCAAGGACACCAUUCUCCCCGCCAGUGAAUGGUUCUGGAGUGGGUAUACAACCUGGUCUGGCCAAGGAGCUUGGAGGAAACAUCUGCUGGAGGCAUCAACCUUUCUGUCCACAUCAGCGAUGAGUGAAGAAGACUCUUCUGACCACAAGCAGAGCCAGCCUCAGGAUGGAGCCUACCCCAAGGACAGCAGAGGGAGGACAAUCAAAGAAUCUGUGUCUUUGGUGACAUUGUUGAUGAGCUUGUUGAACCCUAAUUCUUUCAGACUUUCCAAACCCUAGCCAAAUACAUUCCUGCCAUCUUCAAGCCAGCCUGAGUUGGACUUGCUGCCAACGCACUGUAACUGACCCCAGACAGCAGUUAUCAGGGAGAAGGCCAGAGAGCAUUUGGCCACGUAUUAGGUGCUCAGCAAAAUUUUGUUUCUCUUUUCCCUCACAGCUACACAAAAGCAACCUUGAAAAUGUGGCCAAAGAAAACCACAUUUCUUCCACUUUCAAGACUUCAGUGUCCUCCUGUGGGCCUAACAUGGUGCCAGACUCAUAGUAGGUCUUCAGUAAGUAUUUGAAUGACUCAACCUGCAACAUACCUCUAAAAAGUGAGGCUGGUAAUGCCUGGAUUCCAGUGUAUGGCUUGCAUGAUGAGGAUGAAAAAUGGUGACAGACAUACUUGCAGAGAUCUCAGUCCUGUUUCUAAACUCUGGGACAGCAACUGGAGCACAGGUCCUCCUCCACUUCCUCCACCCCCGGUCUCCAUCCCUGCUCUCUCAGAUAGACAUCUGCCCCUGGAGAGCCAGAGGAGUCUGUGGCCAAUCACUUGCAAAGCCAACCAUCCGAGGAAUGGCUGUUUUACAGAUGAGGAAACUGAGGUCCAGAGAGAAGAAGUGGGUUGCUCCAGAGAACAGGGCUGAUGAUCAUGAGAGCUGAGACAGGAUCCGUGUGUGCUCAAGGCCAGAGUCAAGGUC
rnacentral:lncRNA from 1 species